rnacentral:lncRNA from 1 species
GGGUCUUUUCUAGGGCCGUACCUGCAGCACAUGGAGGUUCCCAGGCGAGGGGUCCAAUCAGAGCUGUAGCUGCCGGCCUACGCCAGAGCCACAGCAACGUGGGAUCUGAGCUGUGUCUGCAACCUACACCACAGCUCACAGCAACACCGGAUCCUUCACCAACUGAGCAAGGCCAGGGAAUCAAACCCACAACCUCAUGUUUCCUUAACCACUGUGCCACGAUGGGAACGCCACAUUUCAUAUUCUAAAUAGAGCUUUAAAAGCCAGGAAAUUUAAGUUUUAUUACUGUUUUAUCACCCAAGUAUGAAUCUCUUGAUACCAUAGUUUAGUCUUGCCUGUUUAAAAAAAAAAAAAAAAAAAAAAAAAAGAUGUUUUCUAAGUCUCUUUUAAUCUACAGGUGUUCCCUCCUGUAAUUAUUCUGUUGAAGAAUCUUCUUGUUUGACCUGUAGAAUUUUCCACAGAAUGGAUUUUGUUCAAGGCACAAAUUAACACAUUCCUGUCCUCUGUAUUUCCUGCAGGCUGUAGCUGGAACCAGACACUUGCUCAGACUCUGGUUUACUCUCUUUGGAAAGACUUUUCUGAUGUAGUUAUUUUGCUGUGUUCAAGGCAUGCGCAAGUUCCAGGCCAGGGAUAAAAACCCUCACUACAGCAAUAACCAGAGCCACAGCAGUGGAUCCUUAAUCCAUUGAGCCACCAGGGAAUUCCUGGCAAGACUUUAGCUGGUGGUGUGUUCUCUCAUCAGGAGGCACACAAUGCCUGAUUGCCUUUCUUUUUGCAAUGUUAUCAAUUGUGUUAAUAUACAAUACCUAGAUCCAUUAAUUUAUUGGAAGUUGCAAAAAGUGGUCUCUAAUUCUAUUUUUCAUUUUUAAUUUGACAUAUUUUACAGAGAGAUGCUUCCCCUCAUCUACAAUCUGGUUACUCAAUACUACAAUUUAGGAGUUCGUUGUGGCUCAGCCACAACAAACCCAACUAGUAUCCAUGAGGAUGAGGGUUCCAUACCUGGCCUUGCUCAUGGGUUAAGAAUCCUACGUUGCUACGACUGUGGCACAGGCUGGCAGCUGCAGCUCUGAUUAGAUCCCUAACCUGGGAACGUCCAUAUACCAUGGAUGUAGGCCUUAAAAAAAAAAAAGUUGGAUGUCAACUGCAAAGGUUGAUUUUAUAUGUUAACUUAGAAGGUGUUUCUGGACGAGAUCAACAUUUAAAUCAGUGAACUAUGUAUGAGUAAACUAGACUGCCAUCCACAACGUGUGUGGGCCUCAUCCAAGUAACUGAAGUCCUGAGUAGAACAAAAAGACCAGCCUCCCCAAGCAAGAGGGAAUUCUCCAGCAGAUUGCUUUCAAACUGGAACUGCACCGUCGGCUCUCUGGUGGCUCCACUUUGCCAGCCUUCACUGAAAUGGCACCACAGGCACUCCCACGUCUGUGCUUAUCAAGCCUGCCAGCCUCUAUUGCUAACAUUGGACCUGACAGCCUCCACAACUGCAUGAGCCAAUUCCUUGUAAUAAAUCUGUCUAUAUACACAUCUUAUCCAUUCUGUUUCUCUGAAGAACCCUCAAACAUUAGAGGUUCUAAUGGAGGUUUAAAGGAGGUCACAUCCACUUAUGGAAUUUCAGAAAAAUUCACAGAACCCAUUUAUUCUUUCACUUAAACAUGUCACAAAUAUUUACCAAGCAUCAGUUAGGAGCUGGGACUACUGUGAGUACUGAUGUGGAUACGGUCCCUUUAAAGAGCUGACAUUUUAAUGUAGGAAACACACAAUAAGUACAUAGAUGUAAGGAGGUGAUAAGGGAUACAAGCAAAACCAAGUAGGGUAAGGGCAAGUUCAGAGUGAGGCAGAGAAGGAGAGAGUGACCAGAGCUCUACUUCAGACAGGGAAGGGCUCUCAUAAGGGAAGAUGCUAUGUGAGAAAAUGUGUGAACGAAGGGAGUAAGCUAAGCAAAGAUGUGUGGGAAGACGUUGUGGUAAACAGCAAUGAAAAGGCAAUGAGAAGAACAGAAUAAGGGAGAGUAGAAAAAUGAGAUAUGCAAUGAGCCAGACCAUGAGGGGCCUGACAAGUGUGGUAGAGAGUAUAGAUUUUAUUCUGAUGGGACAUCACCGAAGAGCAUGGCAUACAUGUUCUGUAUGCUCUUGUAAAGGGAUUUGUUAACAGCUCAGUAAGGAACGGCCUCUACAAGGGUAAUAGUAAAAGCCAGAAGACAUUUAACAAGAUGGUUUAAUGAGUGGAAAGGAUUUUGACAGAUGGAAUACUCUGGAAAAAGCUGACAAAAUCAAGUAGAAAUUUGAGUGCAAAGUUUGAGAGGAGGCUAGACAGUCAUCUGCUUAGGCAUUAGUUCUGAGAACUGAUGUAAUCCCAAGUGAGAGCGUAUAUAAAGAAAGGGGACAACAAUAUCGCUACACGCUUAUCAGAAUGGCCAAAAGAGCUGAAAAUGUAUGUCCACAUAAAAACCUACACUGAAAUGUUUACUGAAUCUUUAUUUUUAACUGCCAAACAUUGGAACCACCAUUCACCUCAGCAGGUGAACAGAGGAAACCUUAAAUGAACUACUAAGUGAAAGAAGCCAAUCUGAAAAGGCGAUAAACUAUAUGAUUCAAUCUAUACAACAUUCUGAAAAAAACAAAACUAUGGAGAUAGUAAAAAGAAUGGUGGGUGCCAGGCGGAGGGGUAGGCAAGUGACAAACAGACGGAGCACAGAGGAUUUUUAGGACAGUGGAAAAUACUCUGUAUGAUACAAGAUGAUGGAUAAAUGAUUCGCCCAUGUUGUCAUAUAUUUGUCUUAAAGAAUGAAUGUGCGACAUCAAAGGUGAAUGCUGGGAUUCCCA